GUUUUAUAAAAGAGUGGAUUUGUUGGUUGAAGGGAACUGGAGUCAGUUGCCUGCUGUGUGAAGAAAGAGUCAGUGAUUAGAGGAGUUGCCUGUGAGAAACAUCAAGGAGGACUUCCACCCGCAGGUCAGCCUGUAUACUGCAGCUGAAGUGUGACCAGCACUUUGUGGCAAAAGUAGUCAGAGCAGCAGGUGCAGUGCUAUUGAUCUUCAUUUGGGUUGGAAGGGUUUCCUUGCUGGAUCUUGGAGAAGGAAUCCAUCAGUGGCACAGCCAUCAAACAGAAGGCCACAGGUAUAUCCUUGUCAGAGAGAUACAUGACUAUGCAGAAAUUCCAAGAGGUGCCAAGAAGUGCACCUCAAUAGCAGAGGUAGCUACUGUCACCUGGCAAAGCUUUUGGUUUUAGGAGAUAGAAAGAAGAUUUAACCCACCCACCUACAUCAAGACUGUCAUUGCCUUCCUUAGAGGAAUUUUAAUUUAAGGAUUUAUACAGCUGUGGAAUCCUGAAAUCCUCUGAGUAAUGUGCAGUGAUCUGAGACGUUCCUGGUAACAAAUGGUGCUCCAGUGUUUGCCACAUUAAGAACCUACAGAGGAGCUAUUCCAACACAGUAACUCUGAUCCACCUUUUACAGAAAACUUAGCUUUAAGAUAAGCAACCUGGAUCAAAAGUAAUCUAAAAUGCCAUUGUAUCUGUCACAGCAUUGUGCUCAUGAGCAAUAGUUGCACUUGAGAAGACUUCUCCAUGGCAGCUCCUGAUCUUAGAAAAUGCCUUUAGCACCGGUGAAAUGUUAUUGAGCUUUAAAAUAUUUACUUUCAAGGUUUUCUGGUGACCUGAAUGGUUUGUGACUCGACAUAGUGCAGAAACCCUCUUUAUAUAUUAACUGCUCUUUCCAUAUGUGUAAGAAGUAAAUGCUUACUCAGGAAAGGCAGCUUUGCUUGUCAAGACACCAGUUUCCUCUUGGUGUCCAGUAAUUCAAGUAAAAAUAAAUUAAAUCCCCAUCUGAACUGGAAAUACAGAUCUGAAAGUGGGAAUUGCAUUUGCAAUUUGCCUUCCUUCCUUCCUUCCUGGGGCAAGUAUUGCUAU